GACGAACGCUGGCGGCGUGCUUAACACAUGCAAGUCGAACGAAGUGGCGAACGGGUGAGUAACGCGUAAUCAACCUGCCCUUCAGAGGGGGACAACAGGUGGAAACGACUGCUAAUACCGCAUACUGAAGGAGGGGAUUGCGUCUGAUUAGCUAGUUGGAGGGGUAACGGCCCACCAAGGCGAAGAUCAGUAGCCGGGCUGGGAGGAUGAACGGCCACAAUGGGACUGGGGCAAGGCCCAGACUCCUACGGGGAGCAGCAGUGGGGGAUCAUCCGGCAUGGACGAAAGUCUGACGGAGCAACGCCGCGUGAGUGAUGACAGCCUUCGGGUUGUAAAGCUCUGUUAAUCGGGACGCGGUACCGAAAUAGAAAGCCACGGCUAACUACGUGCCAGCAGCCGCGGUAAUUC
rnacentral:rRNA from 1 species